CCCGGUGACUUUACUUGUGAGGAAACACACGUUCCCAUUUCGAACACGACCGUUAAGCUCACAGGGCCGAUGAUAGUGCUUACAGGCGCGAAAGUAGGUCAUCGCCGGGA
rnacentral:rRNA from 1 species